rnacentral:ncRNA from 2 species
AUGUUAUCAAGAAAGGCCGAGGGAUUAGACCCUAUGACGCCUUAGCAACCCUUUCUCCGGAAUGAAGGUGCUACAUUCUACAACGAUCGCGACAAUUAUCGAGAUCAACGAUAGAUAACGA